UACGUAGGGUGCAAGCGUUAAUCGGAAUUACUGGGCGUAAAGCGUGCGCAGGCGGUUUUGUAAGUCAGAUGUGAAAUGCCCGGGCUUAACCUGGGAACUGCAUUUGUGACUGCAAGGCUAGAAUCUGGCAGAGGGGGGUAGAAUUCCACGUGUAGCAGUGAAAUGCGUAGAGAUGUGGAGGAACACCGAUGGCGAAGGCAGCCCCCUGGGUUAACACUGACGCUCAGGCACGAAAGCGUGGGGAGCAAACAGG
rnacentral:rRNA from 1 species